CAAGAGUACGUGAAACCGUUCAGGGGUAAACCUGAGAAACCCAAAAGAUCGAAUGGGGAGAUUCAUCGUCAGCUCAUUUUGUAUAUGUAUAAGUUAUGAUGCGAGUUACUCUUGUAGUAUUGCUUGCACGUACUUGUAUAUUUAUUCGCAAGAUGUUGUCGGCGUGCACUUCUCCCCUAGUAGGACGUCGCGACCCGUUGGGUGUUGGUUUACGAGCCAAGUGAGAGCCUUUAAUGUUAUCCAAUAUUAAAGAUCCUUGGUUUUUCUGACCGGCUGCUCGGCGGUAUUCGUACGGUAUUUAGCCGCUUUUAUGCGUCCAUGUCUGUCGCAAGCAGGGUUAGUUUCUGGUAGUACGGACCUGGUGCCGUCACCGGAUCUGGCCAGCUGUUGGUUGUACGGAAUUCUGGGACUGGCUAAAAAUUAUUACCGGUCGGCGAUGCUACUGCUUUGGGUACUUUCAGGACCCGUCUUGAAACACGGACCAAGUAUCCA
rnacentral:rRNA from 1 species